rnacentral:rRNA from 1 species
CCCUUAGAUGUUCUGGGCCGCACGCGCGCUACACUGAUUCAUGCAACAAGUUUUGUCCUUGGCUGAUAGGCCUGGGUAAUCUUUGAACGUGAAUCGUGAUGGGGAUAGAUGAUUGCAAUUAUUCAUCUUCAACGAGGAAUUCCUAGUAAACGCAAGUCAUCAGCUUGCAUUGAUUACGUCCCUGCCCUUUGUACACACCGCCCGUCGCACCUACCGAUUGAAUGGUCCGGUGAAAUCUUCGGAUCUGAGAGAUGUCUGAUUAAUUUCUGACGCCUUUUGGAAAAGUCGCUUAAACCUUAUCAUUUAGAGGAAGGUGAANUCGUAACA